GACGAACGCUGGCGGCGUGCUUAACACAUGCAAGUCGAACGGAAAGGCCCUGCUUUUGUGGGGUGCUCGAGUGGCGAACGGGUGAGUAACACGUGAGUAACCUGCCCUUGACUUUGGGAUAACUUCAGGAAACUGGGGCUGAUACCGGACAGGAGCUCCUGCUGCAUGGUGGGGGUUGGAAAGUUUCGGCGGUUGGGGAUGGACUCGCGGCUUAUCAGCUUGUUGGUGGGGUAGUGGCUUACCAAGGCUUUGACGGGUAGCCGGCCUGAGAGGGUGACCGGCCACAUUGGGACUGAGAUACGGCCCAGACUCCUACGGGAGGCAGCAGUGGGGAAUAUUGCACAAUGGGCGGAAGCCUGAUGCAGCAACGCCGCGUGCGGGAUGACGGCCUUCGGGUUGUAAACCGCUUUCGCCUGUGACGAAGCGUGAGUGACGGUAAUGGGUAAAGAAGCACCGGCUAACUACGUG
rnacentral:rRNA from 1 species